ensembl:lncRNA
CAAAUUUCAAUACAUUUCUAAACGAGGAAAAAUGUCACGCCAUUUACAAAAGAAAAUGCAAUGUUGUAAUACAUUACUAGUAAAUGGCUGUUGGUCUUUUCUCUUUUUAAGGUAGGAAACAUCACUCCUGUGAUGACAACACAAAAGCUUGUGUUGCGGUUGUUUUAUCCACUUUGUUCAGGACACAAAGGGCUCGCUGUUCUUCUCGUCCCCCCCAAUGCCGACUGAUUGGGGGGACUUUUAUGAAACGUUAAAUCUGCAGAGAGUGGGGAAAUAAUGUUGGGACAGCGACCAGAGCAGCAGGGCAAUUAAGACAAAUUAAUUAUGGCGGGCAGGGGGUUAUGCGAGCUGAGCCCAGCUAAAGCGCGAACCCACAGAGGUGUAAACGCCACUUAUAUCGGAGCUCUCCAAGUAGAAGGAAAAGCCCACUUUGUGAGGAGCCGUACAGUGACUGCAUGGCCGAGCAGAAAUUAACCGCGUGCUCCCAAGACUAGAUUUCUUUUCCCGAAAAGACCCAUUUCCCUCCUUCUCAUCUACAUGUACAUAAAUUCCCUUUUCCUUAUCCGCUAUUCUUCUCUCGCCCUCUCACCAUUUCCUUGGCGGUGGCGUCCAGAGAGCUGCGUGUGACCUUUUUUGGUAAAAAAGAAAGAAGAAAAAAAUGACCUCCAUCUUUCUGAGACAGUAAAACUCACUAAAAGUUAGACGAGAUCUGUUUUGGCCACAUGCAUCUUAAACACAUUUUUCCUUUCCAAUAUAUUUGAUUUAAUUACUACUUCCAUGUGCUGUAUUUCUGUGAAGUUAGUUGCAGUUGAAAGAGAGAGAAAAGACUCAAGGACACACGCAUUUCGCAGGUUUCUCACUGCACCUCUCAAGUCUCAAGCCACCGAGUCGUUAACAAACAAUUUAGCAUUGUAGCGGUAGCUUUAGCUUAUCGUACACAUGCGACCCUUUGUUCCUGGAAGUGAAAACUUGUUUGGCAGCGCUAACUCAGAGCGGCGACAAUUGUUUUCUUCAAAUAGGAUCAGGCAAACAGGACGGGAAUCGUGAAACAUCUCAUCAUAAGCUGCGGGCAACAAGUGAAAAACAUCCCCUAAAACCUGAAUGAGCAGAGACACUGACACAGAUCCCCGCUCCAUUCUUUUGUAACAACCCAAAUCCCUCUUUUCCUCCUUUCUCAGCCAUAAUAUGGCUUCCAAGCGAGGUCCAGCCAGAAAUCUUGCAGCACGGCUGUGAAAUAAAGGAAGUGCUGCCAUGCCUGGCUAUGCCAGUGAAUAAAGCCAAAGCAAAUUGCUUCGGGAGAGUUUGGUCCAAUUGGAUGCCAUCCCUUGGUAUGUAAUUCCCAUGGUGGGCCGUUUGGCAGUGGCGUUGCACGCCUCAAUCAGGUGUGGGGGCCCGCAGGAGGCCCUGCUCAUUUGCAUGUCCAAGUAUGAGGGGAAUUCCUCUUAGGGAAAGGAGCCAGCCUUUGAUGUGGGCAUUCCCACUUGAAUUUAGGGGACUAAAAUAGACAGUAAUGGAUCAGUGAAGUCAUUCAUCACCAGUGUGCGCUUUGCCGAGUCCUCCUUCACCUCCUAAACCGUGCUUGGCUUCAAAGAGAGCCGUCCGUUUCAGCUCCUUUUGCCCCGGACUCCUUGCUGCAGAUGAGGCUGAUGUAAAUGAGCCGCGAAGUGGUGGCAUUAAUUUGAGAUCCGGUUGGACGAUCCGUCACUGUCGCGAGCUCACGUCCACCUGUCGUUGGCCGAAUUGGGACACAUGGCUUGCUUAACUUGAAAGCCGUUUGCCAGGAGCCGGAGCUUGUUGCAGGUAAAACGUCAGCGGCCCGGCAGACUGCGCCCAGAUGCGUGGCGAGCCGUGAUUGGAAAGAUGACAAUUGAGUUAAUACUGAAAAAAGUGAAUAACUGGAAAUAAAUGUCUAAUAUAUUAUCUUUCCUUUUUAGCUCCGUUUUGGUCUCCACCUAUUUAUUUGGUCCACCAUGAUUACCAGCUGUCUGCCAGGUGCUACAUUGCGCGAGCAGAAUAAGUUUUCUUUAUGUCAGUAACUUAAAUAACUCAAAUAAGAAUGCAGUUUAGUUGUUUGAAGACUCGUGGGUGGCAGUUUGGUCCUGCUGUCGUUGUGCACGAUGAAGACGAGAUCUGGGAGAGUGAACCAAAACAACAAGCUGAAAGUGGCUCAAUAGCUCCUAAGGAAAACCGAAAAGUCAGGCGAUGAUUGAUUAACAUCACAUAGUCAUUUGAGUUUGAGAUGAAAAUAAUAAUAUUUAGCGCAGCUUCAACCAAAACGUCAACCACUGAAGGCGACGGAUCAGAAAACACACAUUCGGACGAGUUGGAGCUGUUUCGGGAGGCAACACAAAACCAUUUGUAUCGAUUAGGUAUUAACACAAGCAUUGAAAAUAUUAUUUUAUCAUAAUCAGAAACCAAACAUAAGCUCAAAAAACCAACACUUUGAUCCCUCUCUGUGUCGGGUCUCGUGACUCAUCCGCUCUGCAGAACUUGUGCACGGGGGGUCACGCCGGCUGACACAUAGCGGCUUAUUUAGCAACGCUCAGUCACCCACUGCAAAAUGAGUGCUCCAUCACAGUGGAGCUGCUCUCCAUGCGACGCUCAGGAUGCAAAGGGGUUAGAAUGCACUCGUGCAUGUGACAGUUCACUCGCUGCUUUUGUUUCCUUUUUCUUCAGGAAUCGGGCGGGCGAGGGCCCUGCACUUUGAUAAGCUAGCAUACUGUACGUGUUAGCAUGUUGAACCCGCUGUCAAAGAAAACAGCCUGUUAUGGGCAAACGGAGGAGGGUGUUUUUAUUCGCAUGCAGCAUUUUGUUGAUUUGUAAUUCAUUCCUACUUUUCAACCUCACUGUACUUUUUACGUGUUUUAAGCAUCUUUGAAAAUAAAUGACAUCCUCACCAUUCUGGGUCGGCCCUGCUGGUUUUUGAUCUCUCGCAGCAAUUUCUGUGGACAUUAAACCCGCCCGCUUUCCACACAGCACCCAAAGAGUUUCAUUACCGCGGCCGUGUAUCUUACCACAACAGGUAAACUGAGAGAGGACAGUUGCAGAAGAAAGAGGGAGAGACAUGGGAAUAAAAAGAUAAACAGUUUGACCUUCUGUUUCUGCCAAUUUCCAGCGGUCGCCCCCCCCACUCCCCCCUUUUAGCCUUCUCUUUCCCCACUCUCGCCCUCAGCCCUGUGUCGGACGAAUCCUU